rnacentral:lncRNA from 1 species
AUGUCAGCCGCGCGGCUCCCCGAGUCCGCGCUCCGCACGCCGCCCGGCACCGCGGCCCCGCCGAGCCUGCGCGCUCCGGAGGAGGGGGCGUGGGGCCGAGCCCGCCCACCCGCGCCGGCGGCCCGCACUCCCCACGCCCCUCUCCCGCCUGCUGUCAGGCCCCGGUGUCACGGCCCCUUCCUCGCGCCGAGCUCCCCCGAGACACAGUCCGUCCUUUGUCUGAGUGCGCACUCGGCGGCGAGGUCCCACCAACUUGUGCGCGUCCCGUCCCACCCGGGCGCUCCCGCCGCGGCGCUCCACACAAAGGAGACUUGGGCUCGGGCGGCCCGCCCGCCCCGGACCCCGGAGCGCCCCCAGCCCAGCCCCGGCGCCUCGGGAGGGCGGGCGCGCGAGAGGACCCCGCCGCACGCCCCCCGCCGGCGCCCGCCCCUGCUCGCGCCUCGGGUCUCUGGGGUCCGGCUGCCCGCCCGCGGGGUCGCGCGGACCAGCCCGAACCACCGGCCCCCUUCCGAGGGGUCUCCUCUCACCCCGCCUGCCAAACCGGCGUCCCGGGAGAGCCCGCUCGGGGCGAUACCCGGACGGGCAGAGCAGCGGCGGGGCUGUCCCGGCGCCGCCGCCGCCCCUCGCCAGGCUCCAGAGCCCCGCCGACCGGCCGGCCCGACUGCGGCGCGUUACCUGCGCCCCGCGCCCCAGCCCGCGCCGCUCCCGCGCGCCUCUCCCGCGCGCCGCCGCCGCCGCCGCCGCCGGGGCUCCACCGCCUUCUGCGUCCCAGUGGGUGUCGGACGCUCCCGGACCGAGCGCCAAACCCGGCAGCCCAAUCGCCAUCGCUUUUAUUUGGCCCCCCCAGUCGAACCAAGCGCCGCCCCGAUUGGCGGGACGCGAGGCGGGCUCCUGUCCAAUCACAGGGCCCGCCGGGCUCGGAGGCGCCGAGCCAGCCCCACGCAGAGGCGCCCGCGGGACGCGGCCCGGCCGGGCGGGCGGCGCGUGCGCGCGGGCGGCGCCGAGGGACGCGGCCGCCGAGUGGAAGAGCUGCGCCGUCUCUUUGUUCUUUCGCUGCGCGCACGGCGCCUCUCGGGAAGGCGGUGGGAUGGCGGUUGGGGACCAGGGGUCUCUGGGGCCCGAAGCCCGGGCCGCGGACGGGAGGCGGUCGGGCGGGGUGGCGGGAACCGGCCUGAGGGCGGGACGGCGCGCUCGCGGCGCUUGGCGGGAACGGCCGCCUCUGAGUUCCCGGGCCGGAGGGGCGGGGCGUGGUCGAGAGCCAAGUUUGAACCAGUUUCAAAACUCGGGGGUGGUAACGGUUUCAACCGCCGCGCUCUUUCCCCGCGCGCGCAGCCCGGGACCCGGCGGGUGCACGGGCGGGGCCCCGUCUGCCGGCGAGACGCGCCCGGGGGCCCCCGGCCCCCCGCGGCCAGGAGCCGCGACCCUCCCGCGCCCGAGCCCCCUACCCGCGGCUUCUGUCCGCGGCUGCGCUCGGCCACCUGGCCCGGCUCCGAUGCCCCGGGCCGCCGGACUUUGGCUGGGCGAGCCCCCAGUGCCCAUCGCCUUAGAAACCUAGGAAAGGGCGACUGUCCGGGUAUUUCAAAUUCCUCAUUCAAAGCGCCCUGUGGAGACCCUUCCAGUGUUUGUAGUUCCAAGCACGUGUCGACGUUACAGUCAUUCAUCAAGGAUGAGGGCGGUUCACUUGCCUCAUACUAA